AGAGAAUAUUCCUGGAAAAAUUACUUUUUAUCCAUGAAGAAGUUGGAUAACAUUUUUAAUGGCAAAAAAACACACUAUUCACAUUUUGGUUGCAAUCACAGACAUGCAAGAGGGAGCAAGUGGAAUUAUGCAAAAUUACCUAAAGACUAAGAACUGGCACACUAACACUUCUGCCUAAUUCUCUCACCAAGGUGGAUGAUCUCAAUGGACCAAUAUUCAAGUUUGCUGACUCUUUCUGACAACUCAAAUCUGCUUCAGUACCUCUCG